CUUAAGCAAACUCGAUCGUUGUACACUUUGAUGGGUGACCAUCACUGUGUCUCCGUGCCGUGCUAGAUCUCCCCUAGCCGUAAGGUACUUUGAACGCCCCUUCGACGACGAGUUACAAGAGUGUGGUAUGUGUCAUAAUCUGGUGAAGCUUUCUGCAUGUGAUGUGUCUUGUGUGGAUCCGUGGCCAUCGCAUUGUGUCUGGUGUGUAGGUACCCAGACACUUAAGCAAACUCGAUCGUUGUACACUUUGAUGGGUGACCAUCACUGUGUCUCCGUGCCGUGCUAGAUCUCCCCUAGCCGUAAGGUACUUUGAACGCCCCUUCGACGACGAGUUACAAGAGUGUGGUAUGUGUCAUAAUCUGGUGAAGCUUUCUGCAUGUGAUGUGUCUUGUGUGGAUCCGUGGCCAUCGCAUUGUGUCUGGUGUGUAGGUACCCAGACACUUAAGCAAACUCGAUCGUUGUACACUUUGAUGGGUGACCAUCACUGUGUCUCCGUGCCGUGCUAGAUCUCCCCUAGCCGUAAGGUACUUUGAACGCCCCUUCGACGACGAGUUACAAGAGUGUGGUAUGUGUCAUAAUCUGGUGAAGCUUUCUGCAUGUGAUGUGUCUUGUGUGGAUCCGUGGCCAUCGCAUUGUGUCUGGUGUGUAGGUACCCAGACACUUAAGCAAACUCGAUCGUUGUACACUGUGAUGGGCGAGCAUCACUGUGUCUCCGUGCCGUGCUAGAUCUCCCCUAGCCGUAAGGCACUUUGAACGCCCCUUCGACGACGAGUUACAAGAGUGUGGUAUGUGUCAUAAUCUGGUGAAGCUUUCUGCAUGUGAUGUGCCUUGUGUGGAUCCGUGGCCAUUGCAUUGUGUCUGGUGUGUAGGUACCCAGACACUUAAGCAAACUCGAUCGUUGUACACUUUGAUGGGCAACCAUCACUGUGUCUCCGUGCCGUGCUAGAUCUCCCCUAGCCGUAAGGCACUUUGAACGCCCCUUCGACGACGAGUUACAAGAGUGUGGUAUGUGUCAGAAUCUGGUGAAGCUUUCUGCAUGUGAUGUGCCUUGUGUGGAUCCGUGGCCAUCGCAUUGUGUCUGGUGUGUAGGUACCCAGACACUUAAGCAAACUCGAUCGUUGUACACUUUGAUGGGCAACCAUCACUGUGUCCCCGUGCCGUGCUAGAUCUCCCCUAGCCGUCAGGCACUUUGAACGCCCCUUCGACGACGAGUUACAAGAGUGUGGUAUGUGUCAGAAUCUGGUGAAGCUUUCUGCAUGUGAUGUGCCUUGUGUGGAUCCGUGGCCAUUGCAUUGUGUCUGGUGUGUAGGUACCCAGACACUUAAGCAAACUCGAUCGUUGUACACUUUGAUGGGUGACCAUCACUGUGUCUCCGUGCCGUGCUAGAUCUCCCCUAGCCGUAAGGUACUUUGAACGCCCCUUCGACGACGAGUUACAAGAGUGUGGUAUGUGUCAUAAUCUGGUGAAGCUUUCUGCAUGUGAUGUGUCUUGUGUGGAUCCGUGGCCAUCGCAUUGUGUCUGGUGUGUAGGUACCCAGACACUUAAGCAAACUCGAUCGUUGUACACUUUGAUGGGUGACCAUCACUGUGUCUCCGUGCCGUGCUAGAUCUCCCCUAGCCGUAAGGUACUUUGAACGCCCCUUCGACGACGAGUUACAAGAGUGUGGUAUGUGUCAUAAUCUGGUGAAGCUUUCUGCAUGUGAUGUGUCUUGUGUGGAUCCGUGGCCAUCGCAUUGUGUCUGGUGUGUAGGUACCCAGACACUUAAGCAAACUCGAUCGUUGUACACUUUGAUGGGUGACCAUCACUGUGUCUCCGUGCCGUGCUAGAUCUCCCCUAGCCGUAAGGUACUUUGAACGCCCCUUCGACGACGAGUUACAAGAGUGUGGUAUGUGUCAGAAUCUGGUGAAGCUUUUUGCAUGUGAUGUGCCUUGUGUGGAUCCGUGGCCAUUGCAUUGUGUCUGGUGUGUAGGUACCCAGACACUUAAGCAAACUCGUUCGUUGUACACUUUGAUGGGUGACCAUCACUGUGUCUCCGUGCCGAGCUAGAUCUCCCCUAGCCGUAAGGCACUUUGAACGCCCCUUCGACGACGAGUUACAAGAGUGUGGUAUGUGUCAGAAUCUGGUGAAGCUUUCUGCAUGUGAUGUGCCUUGUGUGGAUCCGUGGCCAUCGCAUUGUGUCUGGUGUGUAGGUACCCAGACACUUAAGCAAACUCGAUCGUUGUACACUUUGAUGGGCAACCAUCACUGUGUCCCCGUGCCGAGCUAGAUCUCCCCUAGCCGUAAGGUACUUUGAACGCCCCUUCGACGACGAGUUACAAGAGUGUGGUAUGUGUCAUAAUCUGGUGAAGCUUUCUGCAUGUGAUGUGCCUUGUGUGGAUCCGUGGCCAUUGCAUUGUGUCUGGUGUGUAGGUACCCAGACACUUAAGCAAACUCGAUCGUUGUACACUUUGAUGGGCAACCAUCACUGUGUCUCCGUGCCGUGCUAGAUCUCCCCUAGCCGUAAGGCACUUUGAACGCCCCUUCGACGACGAGUUACAAGAGUGUGGUAUGUGUCAUAAUCUGGUGAAGCUUUCUGCAUGUGAUGUGCCUUGUGUGGAUCCGUGGCCAUUGCAUUGUGUCUGGUGUGUAGGUACCCAGACACUUAAGCAAACUCGAUCGUUGUACACUUUGAUGGGCAACCAUCACUGUGUCUCCGUGCCGUGCUAGAUCCCCCCUAGCCGUAAGGCACUUUGAACGCCCCUUCGACGACGAGUUACAAGAGUGUGGUAUGUGUCAGAAUCUGGUGAAGCUUUCUGCAUGUGAUGUGCCUUGUGUGGAUCCGUGGCCAUCGCAUUGUGUCUGGUGUGUAGGUACCCAGACACUUAAGCAAACUCGAUCGUUGUACACUUUGAUGGGCAACCAUCACUGUGUCCCCGUGCCGUGCUAGAUCUCCCCUAGCCGUCAGGCACUUUGAACGCCCCUUCGACGACGAGUUACAAGAGUGUGGUAUGUGUCAGAAUCUGGUGAAGCUUUCUGCAUGUGAUGUGCCUUGUGUGGAUCCGUGGCCAUUGCAUUGUGUCUGGUGUGUAGGUACCCAGACACUUAGAACGCUUGCGCGGAAAGCAAACUCGAUCGUUGUACACUUUGAUGGGUGACCAUCACUGUGUCUCCGUGCCGUGCUAGAUCUCCCCUAGCCGUAAGGUACUUUGAACGCCCCUUCGACGACGAGUUACAAGAGUGUGGUAUGUGUCAGAAUCUGGUGAAGCUUUUUGCAUGUGAUGUGCCUUGUGUGGAUCCGUGGCCAUUGCAUUGUGUCUGGUGUGUAGGUACCCAGACACUUAAGCAAACUCGUUCGUUGUACACUUUGAUGGGUGACCAUCACUGUGUCUCCGUGCCGAGCUAGAUCUCCCCUAGCCGUAAGGUACUUUGAACGCCCCUUCGACGACGAGUUACAAGAGUGUGGUAUGUGUCAGAAUCUGGUGAAGCUUUCUGCAUGUGAUGUGCCUUGUGUGGAUCCGUGGCCAUUGCAUUGUGUCUGGUGUGUAGGUACCCAGACACUUAAGCAAACUCGAUCGUUGUACACUUUGAUGGGCAACCAUCACUGUGUCUCCGUGCCGUGCUAGAUCUCCCCUAGCCGUAAGGCACUUUGAACGCCCCUUCGACGACGAGUUACAAGAGUGUGGUAUGUGUCAGAAUCUGGUGAAGCUUCUGCAUGUGAUGUGCCUUGUGUGGAUCCGUGGCCAUUGCAUUGUGCCUGGUGCUUAGAUACCCAGACACUUAGAACGCUUGCGCGGAAGUCAUUCCAUUGGUUCAUUCCAAAAGUCUUCGGACUUAUAAAA